AUCAAUAAGCGGAGGAAAAGCAACUAACUAGGAUUCCCCCAGUAACGGCGAGCGAAGCGGGAAUAGCUCGAGCAGGCAAUCUCUGGUGUUGAUCGCCAGCGAAUUGUGGCCGGAAGAGGCGGCUGCACCUGAGGCGACUCCGUCGAAGUUGACCUGGAAAGGCACGUCGGAGAGGGUGAUAGCCCCGUGCGGGGCGGAGUCGCCGAGGGCCGCUACCGUCUUCGGAGAGUCGGGUUGUUUGGGAAUGCAGCCCAAAGUGGGUGGUAAACUCCAUCUAAAGCCAAAUAGCGGCACGAGACCGAUAGCGAACAAGUACCAUGAGGGAAAGGUGAAAAGCACUUUGGAAAGAGAGUUAAAGAGGCCGCGAAACCGUUGGGAGGGAAACGCAUGCAGCCGAACGGGCCCGCGCCGGGUUCACGGGGUCGCGGUGUGUGUCUGUGCGUCGGUGGCACCCUUCGGGGUCGCCUUCGUGUCAGGCCGCUCCGCACCCCUGCACUCCCGGCGGCAGUGGCCGGCCAAGUGCGGUGGGUUUCCAGGCGAGGAGCACGCGUCGGGCAGGUGGCGCAGCUGUGCCUUUCGGGGCACGGAGGCGAGCUUACAGCCGGCCGUGCGGAGCGCCAGGGCCCCACCGAGGAGAGCGGUGGCAUUUUCCACCCCAGCAGUGCAGGCCCGUCAAGGGCCGGGGCGCUCCUGUCCGUUCCACCGUCGCGCCGCGUCACUGCGUGCAGUGUCAGGUGUCGGCGUGUGAGUCCGGGCGGGAGGCCGUCCACGACUUGCGCUGUGGUCGCUUGGCUAGCCGUCGGCUGCAUUCGA
rnacentral:rRNA from 1 species